AUUUCAACCAAACCAACAUUUGCAUAAAUUAAUCAGUAAAACCCAUCUCAUAAAAUCAGAGAUAUUGAGAGUUAUUGGAGACUAAACAAAACCCAUCUCAUAAUCAUAAAUUAAUCAGUCAAGCCUUCGAAUGUUGAAGCCUUCGAACGUCAAGCCUUCGAAUGUUGGAGACUAAACAAAACCCAUCUCAUAAAAUCAGAGAUAUUCAUAAAUUAAUCAGUAACCAGAGACCAACAUUUGCAUCAGGUGAGCUAAAUUCAAUAAAUUAAUUAAAUCAAUUCAACCUUAAUUUUGCAUCAGACCAACUAAAUUCAGUAACCAGGCCAACAUUUGCAUCAGCUAAAUUCAGUAACCAGACCAACAUUUGCAUCAGAAACCCUUACCUUGAAUUUGAGACUUGAUUCGCGUCGGCUUCGAGAUUCGUGUGGCUGCGGUUCUGGGUUCAAGAUUUGGGGAUCAAGGCGAAAAGGAGAGAUAGAGGAGAUGAGGACUACGGGAAGAGUAGAUGAGGAUUAUGGAAAGGGGAGAUAGAGUGACGGGGAAGAUAGAGCGAGAGGGCGAGAGGGAAAGAUAGAGCGAGAGGGAGAUACGGGAAAGGGGAAAGGGGAAAGGUGAAGCAUUUGCGGAUCCACAAUUAAGAAAUUUUCUUUUGCUGCAACUAAUUGGGAUGAAGGAUUAUGCGGGGAAAGAUGAAGAUUAUGCGAAAGGGGAAGAGUAGAUGAGGGAAAGAUAGAGCGAGAGGGAGAUACGGGAAAGGGGAAAGAUGAAGGAUUAUGCGAAAUGGAAGGGGAGAUACGGGAAAGAAAGAGCGAAAGGGAAGAAAUAGGUCAACGGGAUCAGAGCCAAAAAUUUUCAUUAUUCACCUAUUUUUCAUUAUUCACCGCCAAAAUUAUCAACUGGCGUGACGUAGGUAUACAAUUUGAUGUCAUGCAAAGUGAUUUUGCGCGACGAUUACAUUAAAGCGUCACGCAAGUUAUUUUUAUUUUUAUAAAAUUAUUAAAAAUUUUACUGAAAAUGUGACUUUACUCCUUUCAAGUUCAAUUUUUUUUUUACUUAAACCCCACAAUAAUAUAUUUUUCUAACAAAAACCCAUAAUAAUUUAUUAACAUAUAUAUCAUUCAAUCUCUUAAGUGUUAUAACUACAAAAUAAAUAAAUUAAAAGGAAAAUUAAUGAAAAGAGCUUGAAAACUUUGAGUUUUAAUGAUAAGGACAAAAUAAAGGGUAAAGUGAAUAGUACUAGGAUUGACUUUUUAGUGUAAAAAUGUGGUUUUUCGUUAAAGUGAACAGUACCUGGUGCUUUUCGUUAAAGUUCCCUAAAUUAAAAUCUACUUAGUAAAUAUAUAUACCACUGAACUUGCUAGGAAACGCAUUGUACGAAAAUAUUUUGAACGAUCCAACCGUCAAACUUGUUUGUAUAUGAUUCGAUAUCGCGUACGCCAAAAAUGGCAACAAACGAACAUGCAAAUAUCAAGUAACGGGGACAAAAUAUUUCGACGGUUAUAAACGAAAAAUCACGAUUUAACGGUACAUUUAAGUGGAUACCACAAAAUCUUAAGUUAUACUUAAUGAAAAUAUAAUUAAACUCUAAGUGUUAGUAAAUCAAUCGUUUUGAUGGGAAACGCAUUGUACGAAAUUAAUUUCAACGAUCCAACCGUCAAAAAUGUUUUUAUAUGCUUUAAGAUCUCAUACGCCAAAAAUGGAAAAAAACGAACAUGCAUAGAUCAAGUAACGGGGACAAAAUAUUUCGACGGUUACAAACAAAAAAUCACGAUUUAACGGUACUUUUAACUCCGAUUUUGAUGAUGUUUUACAAAUACACUCCUUAGCCCUAUAUGAAUACAAUGAACAUAUUCGAUCGUCAAUUUAAAGUAUUUACACAAGUGGAUACCACAAAAUCUUAAGUUAUACUUAAUGAAAAUAUAAUUAAACUCCAAGUGUUGGUAAAUCAAUCGUUUUGAUGGGAAACGCAUUGUACGAAAUUAAUUUCAACGAUCCAACCGUCAAACAUGUUUUUAUAUGCUUCAAGAUCUCAUACGCCAAAAAUGGAAAAAAACGAACAUGCAGAGAUCAAGUAAUAGGACAAAUAUUUCGACGGUUAUAAACGAAAAAUCACGAUUUAACGGUACUUUUAACUCCGAUUUUGAUGAUUUUUUUACAGAUACACUCCUUGACCCUAUAUGAAUACAAUGAACAUAGUCGAUCGUCAAUUUAAAGUAUUUACACAAGUGGAUACCACAAAAUCUUAAGUUAUACUUAAUGAAAAUAUAAUUAAACUCUAAGUGUUAGUAAAUCAAUCGUUUUGAUGGGAAACACAUUGUACGAAAUUAAUUUCAACGAUCCAACCGUCAAAAUGUUUUUAUAUGCUUCAAGAUCUCAUACGCCAAAAAUGGAAAAAAAUGAACAUGCAGAGAUCAAGUAACGGGGACAAAAUAUUUCAACGGUUACAAACAAAAAAUCACGAUUUAACGGUACUUUUAACUCCGAUUUUGAUGAUUUUUUACAA
rnacentral:lncRNA from 1 species